rnacentral:lncRNA from 1 species
UUUCGGCUCUGGAGGGGAGUUUCGGCCGCCGAACCUACCCCCGAAAGUGGGUGAAUUUCGACUCUGGAAGGACUUUCGGCUGCCGAACCUGCCCCCGAAAGUGCCUGACUUUCGGCUCUGGAGGGACCUUCAGCCGCCGAACUUGCCGCCAAAAAUCCCCUGUUCAGCCUUCCUUUGCAUGUAUUCUAUGAAUGUUUUAUGAUGUUUUAAGGGGUUUUUGGGGAGUUAUUUAGAGUAUGUUUGGUCCCUCAUUUGAGUCUACCUGUGUAGGAUCGGACCCGAG